AGGACGAACGCUGGCGGCGUGCUUAACACAUGCAAGUCGAGCGGUGAUCCUCCUUCGGGAGGUGAUCAGCGGCGAACGGGUGAGUAACACGUGGGCAACCUGCCCCUCACACUGGGAUAACCUCGGGAAACCGGGGCUAAUACCGGAUACGACCUCGAGCGGCAUCUCUUGAGGUGGAAGCUCCGACGGUGAGGGAUGGGCCCGCGGCCUAUCAGCUUGUUGGUGGGGUAAUGGCCUACCAAGGCGACGACGGGUA
rnacentral:rRNA from 1 species